rnacentral:rRNA from 1 species
GCAGUCGAACGCGAAAGUUUUCUUCGGAAGACGAGUAGAGUGGCGCACGGGUGAGUAACGCGUAAGUUAUCUACCCUGGCAUCUGGAAUAACUCACCGAAAGGUGUGCUAAUACCGGAUACGUUGGAUUUAUCCAAGAAAGGUGGCCUCUUCAUGAAAGCUACUGUGCUGGGAGGAGCUUGCGUACCAUUAGCUAGUUGGUAGGGUAACGGCCUACCAAGGCGACGAUGGUUAGCGGGUCUGAGAGGAUGAUCCGCCACACUGGAACUGGAACACGGACCAGACUCCUACGGGAGGCAGCAGUGAGGAAUAUUGCGCAAUGGGGGCAACCCUGACGCAGCGACGCCGCGUGGAUGAUGAAGGCCUUCGGGUCGUAAAAUCCUGUCAGAUGGAAAGAAGUGUACGGUGGUUAAUAUCCGCUGUAUUUGACGGUACCAUCAAAGGAAGCACCGGCUAACUCCGUGCCAGCAGCCGCGGUAAUACGGAGGGGUGCAAGCGUUGUUCGGAAUUACUGGG